GUGGGGAAUUUUGGACAAUGGGCGCAAGCCUGAUCCAGCAAUGCCGCGUGCAGGAAGAAGGCCUUCGGGUUGUAAACUGCUUUUGUACGGAACGAAACGGUCCUGGUUAAUACCCGGGGCUAAUGACGGUACCGUAAGAAUAAGCACCGGCUAACUACGUGCCAGCAGCCGCGGUAAUACGUAGGGUGCAAGCGUUAAUCGGAAUUACUGGGCGUAAAGCGUGCGCAGGCGGUGCUGUAAGACAGGCGUGAAAUCCCCGGGCUCAACCUGGGAAUUGCGCUUGUGACUGCAGUGCUGGAGUGCGGCAGAGGGGGAUGGAAUUCCGCGUGUAGCAGUGAAAUGCGUAGAUAUGCGGAGGAACACCGAUGGCGAAGGCAAUCCCCUGGACCUGUACUGACGCUCAUGCACGAAAGCGUGGGGAGCAAACAGGAUUAGAUACCCGUGUAGUCC
rnacentral:rRNA from 1 species